rnacentral:rRNA from 1 species
UAGCCGUAAACGAUACUCGCUAGGUGUCGGCCACGGUGCGACCGUUGUCGGUGCCGUAGGGAAGCCGUGAAGCGAGCCACCUGGGAAGUACGGCCGCAAGGCUGAAACUUAAAGGAAUUGGCGGGGGAGCACAACAACGGGUGGAGCUUGCGGUUUAAUUUGGAUUCAACGCCGGAAAUCUUACCGGGACCGACAGCAACAUGAAGGCCAAGCUGAAGACUUUGCCGGGUUAGCUGAAAGGUGGUGCAUGGCGUAGUCGUGU